CUGCUGACACAUUUCUCAUCCUUCUAGGUUGUUCUUCGUGGGCUCCCGGGAGGGCCACCUACCGGACCUUCUGUCCAUGAUCCACAUUGAGCGUUUUACACCUAUCCCUGCUUUACUGUUCAAUUGCACCAUGGCACUCAUCUACCUCAUCGUGGAGGAUGUUUUCCAGCUUAUCAACUACUUCAGCUUCAGCUACUGGUUCUUCGUGGGCCUGUCUGUUGUUGGACAGCUCUACCUCCGCUGGAAGGAGCCCAAGCGGCCCCGGCCUCUCAAGCUGAGCGUGUUUUUCCCCAUCGUGUUCUGCAUAUGCUCCGUGUUUCUGGUGAUAGUGCCCCUCUUCACUGACACCAUUAAUUCCCUCAUUGGCAUCGGGAUUGCCCUUUCUGGAGUCCCUUUCUACUUCAUGGGUGUUUACCUGCCAGAGUCCCGGAGGCCACUGUUUAUUCGGAAUGUCCUGGCUGCUAUCACCAGAGGCACCCAGCAGCUUUGCUUUUGUGUCCUGACUGAGCUUGAUGUAGCCGAAGAAAAAAAGGAUGAGAGGAAAACUGACUAGAGGUCAGAGGUGGCUUUCUGAGGCCUGGAAGGCAGGCCAACCAGCAAAAUCCUGAUAACAAGACUCUGUGGGCCCAACUCUCCUGAAUUAAAGGAGCCUUUUGAC
rnacentral:sRNA from 1 species